rnacentral:rRNA from 1 species
AGCGAACGCUGGCGGCAGGCUUAACACAUGCAAGUCGAGCGGAUGUAGCAAUACAUCAGCGGCAGACGGGUGAGUAACACGUGGGAACGUACCUUUUGGUUCGGAACAACACAGGGAAACUUGUGCUAAUACCGGAUAAGCCCUUACGGGGAAAGAUUUAUCGCCGAAAGAUCGGCCCGCGUCUGAUUAGCUAGUUGGUGAGGUAAUGGCUCACCAAGGCGACGAUCAGUAGCUGGUCUGAGAGGAUGAUCAGCCACAUUGGGACUGAGACACGGCCCAAACUCCUACGGGAGGCAGCAGUGGGGAAUAUUGGACAAUGGGCGCAAGCCUGAUCCAGCCAUGCCGCGUGAGUGAUGAAGGCCCUAGGGUUGUAAAGCUCUUUUGUGCGGGAAGAUAAUGACGGU